UGUGUACAAUAAUCCAGCAACUGAAGAGAGGUGAAGUCUGUUGAAGAAAUCAUAUCCUGGAGGAUUCAAAAGAAUUUUGUCCUUUUGUGUUGAGCAAUGCCAUAACGUUUCGAUGAAGGCAGAAGGUGUCAGCAUCGCCUCGAGUAAAGCAGGAAGUCCUCCGAGCUUCACUUUUCAGUUUCCAAUAUGCAGAAUGAAUUUUACCACCCUCACAUCAGGGAUACAGAUUGUUGCUGUGCCAGGAAAGUGAGGAGCUCAGUGGAAGGACUCUGGUGCAAGCAGAGCUAACCUGUAAUUACAGCUGAAUAAAGCCAACUGUGUCUGAGGGCUCUUGCAAGAGGCAUUCAAAACUGAUGUACUAUUUAAAAAAAAGAAAAAGAAGACAUGAAGAAGAAAAGAAAAUCACGUCUGCUGUGCCAGAAGAGCAAUGAGCAGGUGUAACUUGGUUGCUGCAAAGAGAAGAGAGCAGAAGCAGCAAGCAGA